GUCCUACGGGAGGCAGCAGUGGGGAAUAUUGCACAAUGGGGGAAACCCUGAUGCAGCGACGCCGCGUGAGCGAAGAAGUAUUUCGGUAUGUAAAGCUCUAUCAGCAGGGAAGAAAAAUGACGGUACCUGAGUAAGAAGCACCGGCUAAAUACGUGCCAGCAGCCGCGGUAAUACGUAGGGGGCAAGCGUUAUCCGGAUUUACUGGGUGUAAAGGGAGCGUAGACGGCAGCGCAAGUCUGGAGUGAAAUGCGGGGGCCCAACCCCGGAACUGCUCUGGAAACUGUGAAGCUGGAGUGCAGGAGAGG
rnacentral:rRNA from 1 species